rnacentral:rRNA from 1 species
UACGUAGGGUGCAGGCGUUAAUCGGAAUUACUGGGCGUAAAGCGUGCGCAGGCGGUUUACUAAGACAGGUGUGAAAUCCCCGGGCUUAACCUGGGAACUGCGCUUGUUACUGGCAGGCUUGAGUGUGGCAGAGGGGGGUGGAAUUCCACGUGUAGCAGUGAAAUGCGUAGAGAUGUGGAGGAACACCGAUGGCGAAGGCAGCCCCCUGGGCUAACACUGACGCUCAUGCACGAAAGCGUGGGGAGCAAACAGG